rnacentral:misc_RNA from 1 species
GAAAUGGGUACAUAUCCACACGCAUAUCAGAAGUAAAGAUCAACUGGAAUCAGAUUUGCAAGCUUUAUAGUUCCUGCAAAGCUAAUGAUUUUUAUAUACCAUGGAGCAACUAGUCCAAGUGAAGCCACAAAAUUUUUGCCCUAUGAUUCAAUACAAAACCCAACAAUGCUUUUGGGUUUCCUAAUCACCACAGCCUGAGUUUGUUUUAUUCCACAACUAAAACUGGAGGAGUUUGCAAAGCUUUCAAAUGUAUGCAUUACACAAACAUCUAGGUAGAUAACCCACAACAGUUUAACCAUGAUUGAAAAUCAAGGUACGUCUAAAGAUCGACCGAUCUUUCAACCAUGCACAUGUUUGAUAUGGUUACAGUUUUCAAGGACAUUCUGCGAGUACUCCAUCAUUUCUUGACCUGCCUCAGUUAUCAUGUGGUGAAUGAGAACUUGGCGUGGACAUGUCAGACGAAGCCAUGGGAGUGGAUAUUGAAAGCCGGGUUGUGGAGAAAGAGGUUGGGUUGGAUCUAUCAUCUUCAAAGCCAGACCAAGAAUCCCUGGUCUUAGGCCACUCAUCAAAGAAGGGUCGAAGAGACUGACCACCUUGCUUCGCAGGUUCCCCAGUUGCAAAUUCACCACUGAAAAAUGAAUGCUGGGGAUAAUCAUUCUGCAACAUCGAAUUAUCAAUCGACUUUGAUGUGGGAAAUGAUGAUACUCUGGAUUGCAUCCAAGGCCAGUCGAGCUGCGAGUCCGUCUGGAGAACCCUGUUGCUUCCUGAAGCUCCAGAGAAGAAACUAUGCUCACCAACCUCGGGCUUAAGUACUUGACCACACCUGUUUCAGCAUCCAUUAAGAGGAAUCUUCUUCUUAAAAUUGAAUCUCAAGCAUUAAAUUAUGUUAUGGUGGCCCCUUGAUUUCAGUCGAGACAAUGCAAAAUAAGCAACGCAUCAAUUCUAAAGAGAAGCAUAAAGCCAUGAAGCAAGCAAUGAAUGCUGCAGGAUAAGGAGUAUCAAAAAACUAAAAAGUACUUCAAUAUCUCGAAAAAGCAGAAUCGGUUUGGACUUAUGAUAUCAUUGGAAUUGCAAUCGUGCUCCUAGAAAUACACUUUGAUGACUUCUGGUGUCUCCACAUCAAGUUUGUGACUUGUCCAAGUCCAGUGUUAAAAUACGUAGGAUUGAUUACAUUCAACAUACCCCAAACUAAUGUGAUACUGAAAAUAACAAAACAACACAUUUCAAAACUGCAUAUCUUUUGUCAGAAAACAGCUUCCAUAAAAAUAAAUGAAUCAACAAGUUCUAAAUAAAUGAAUGAAUGAACAGAAAACAAGAAUUUUUGUUGUUCAUUCAAGAGGUCUAAUAUAUAGCAUAAAUUCUCUGUCAUUCAGAAAGAAUGAAAGUCCUUCCUGUUGCAGAGAAUUGAUGAAAUAAAAUCUUGUAUCAAGUGCUAAAUCAAACUUAAGGGCCCAGCAAUGGAUAAAUAAGAAGGCUUAAAAAGUAUAUGGCACCAAGAAAGAAACACUAGAAUUAGCAGGGAAAACUGAAGAGAAUAGUGGCUAAAUAGAUUUUGAGAUCCAAAUAGUAAUGGGCAUCCUAAUACCUAAAAGAAGACAACGAUAAAAUUUCUCAAGGUUUUAUAGAAGGAAUUGAUAGAUAAAAGAAAUAAAAUUCAAAUACCUUCAAACAAUUUUCAGAUUCUUGCCUUUAGAUGGAACCAGAUAGCAAAGUGCAAUCAAACAUUAUUGUACCUAGUAACCGGACAAUAUCAACAACUAUAAUCUUUUUCAUAAUUAAGUUGCAAUACCUACUUUUCAGUGGCUUGUCCAAAGUAAAAGAAUGAGAGAAGCUUCAAAUUGAAGGAUGGAAUUCCAUUAACAUCCCCAACAGAAUUAUCUUCAAAAGCAAAUAAACCAGCUAAUAUAGCAAGUUGCAUGUACCAACUGACAAAAGCUGUUCCAAGAAUUCUAUGAAAGAAAAAAAAGGCAAAGAGGUGUUGGUGGGUUUUUUUUUUG